UCUAUUUUUUAAAUUUUUUAUGAAUGAAUUAUCAGUCUCACAUGUUCCCCGUUCCUUUCUCUUCUCGAUGAAAUAAGGAAAUAUCUGAGAAAUUUCUUUGAGAUUAUAUAAACUUCAGUAUUUGCUCGACUCUUUGAAUUGGAAAAAAAAGAAUCAGUCAAUAAUAAGAAGGUUUGAAGAACAGUGAAUUUGGACGACGAUGGUGAUUAAGACGGAAAUUACAGCAAACAGAGAGAUUGGCGGGCUUGUAAAAUCUGCACUUUCCCGAAAUGAUUUGGUCUCAAUCUAUGUAUUUCCAGAUACAGCUUUUUAGACCUUCAUUUGCUGGAGCUGGAUGACAAAAGAGUGCAGGAAAACUCGCAGGGGAUUCGAUAGAAUGAAAAGGACGAUCUUAGCUAUGCAAGUUCACAAACAGUUCAAGGCGAAAAGUUGUAAGGAAGAUAGCUAAGCGUUGCGCAGCCAUGACUGUAUUUAUAGGAAGAAAUCCAGAGGAGACUUCCUGGAAGUGGAUAUAUGCCGGCUAUAGUGUACAUCGAUUGCUGCUAAUUACUGCUCUUCUGAGUGUUGAGAAGGGAAAGAUAAUCUUCGAAAUGCUUCCAUUUCACCAUUCACAAGGUUUCAAGUUCAAUUUGACACCUGAGUUUGUAUCUCGAUAAAAGCAGUGCUAUAUUACGACAUGCAGAUCAGGAAUCACGGUCUGAAGAAGUUGAAUCUCCUCCGUUUCUUCCCAUCUCCGGUUUAGCAAGUGAUGAUAAUCAUAGUGACAAGGCCGUUCUCUUGAAUUCGAUAUCUAUCAUCCAAAGAGAACUGACAGAAACCCUUCCUUGGUUGGCCUUAUUCGAAGAAAAUCUCCUGCAAACCAAGAGUUAAAGAAACAUGAAAGUAGGGAUACAUCUGUUGUGGAAGGGAUAAUGAGCCUACCUGAUCGAGUUACCUCGGUUGUUGACCAGAUUGCUUUGCAUUCGAAUCAAACUAGCUUCAAUGACAAUCACAAGAUUGAAUAUGGUGCAGGAGAUUCAGUUUCUUCGAACACAAACGAUGCGGAACCAAAUCCAAAGCAUGGUUGGCCUCUCUCCGCAUUACAGCUUCCACUACUUCUGAUUCUUGUUUAUCAGAAUCGAAUCUACAAAGAUGUCAUUGCCAAUGGUUGAGAGGGCGAUGAACACUGCUAUUGAAUCAAAGGAAUAUGACAAUUGCGUACAAUAGAAAAUUCCUUGCCAGCACUAAGAAAGAUGCCGAACAACUUGGCACUUCGUUGCAAGCAGUUCAC